UAGGGAAUCUUCCACAAUGGACGCAAGUCUGAUGGAGCAACGCCGCGUGAGUGAAGAAGGUUUUCGGACCGUAAAGCUCUGUUGUUGGUGAAGAAGGAUAGAGGUAGUAACUGGCCUUUAUUUGACGGUAAUCAACCAGAAAGUCACGGCUAACUACGUGCCAGCAGCCGCGGUAAUACGUAGGUGGCAAGCGUUGUCCGGAUUUAUUGGGCGUAAAGCGAGCGCAGGCGGAAGAAUAAGUCUGAUGUGAAAGCCCUCGGCUUAACCGAGGAAUUGCAUCGGAAACUGUUUUCUUGAGUGCAGAAG
rnacentral:rRNA from 1 species